rnacentral:rRNA from 1 species
AGAGUUUGAUCAUGGCUCAGAACGAACGCUGGCGGCGUGGAUAAGACAUGCAAGUCGAACGCUAAUUAGAGGGUAGCAAUAUUCUCUGGUUGGAGUGGCGCAAGGGUGCGUAACACGUGGGUAAUCUGCCGUGAAGCCUGGGAUAACUCGCUGAAAGGCGAGCUAAUACCGGAUGUGAUUGCUGGGGAGCAUUUUCUGGCAAUGGAAGCUGGGGACCGAAAGGCCUGGCGCUUUACGAUGAGCCCGCGGCCUAUCAGCUAGUUGGUGAGGUAACGGCUCACCAAGGCUAAGACGGGUAGCUGGUCUGAGAGGACGACCAGCCACACUGGAACUGAGACACGGUCCAGACACCUACGGGUGGCAGCAGUCGAGAAUUUUUCACAAUGGGCGCAAGCCUGAUGGAGCGACGCCGCGUGGGGGAUGAAGGGUUUCGAUCCGUAAACCCCUGUCAUUUGCGAACAAACCUUGAUGGAUAACACCCAUCAAGCUGAUUGUAGCGGAAGAGGAAGGGACGGCUAACUCUGUGCCAGCAGCCGCGGUAAUACAGAGGUCCCAAGCGUUGUUCGGAUUCACUGGGCGUAAAGGGUGCGUAGGUGGCCAGGUAAGUUUGGUGUGAAAGCUCGGAGCUCAACUCCGAAAAGUCAUUGAAUACUAUCUGGCUGGAGGGUCGGAGGGGAGACUGGAAUUCUCGGUGUAGCAGUGAAAUGCGUAGAUAUCGAGAGGAACACCAGUGGCGAAGGCGAGUCUCUGGACGACUCCUGACACUGAGGCACGAAAGCUAGGGGAGCAAACAGGAUUAGAUACCCNNGUAGUCC